GGGAGAUGGUGGACGGCUGACGGUGAUCCCUGUCGAUCGCUGAGGAAAGUCCUCCCUCCUCAAGACACCGGAGCCCGGUGCAAGCCGGGGACGCGAGAGCGUCGGCAAUGGAGCAGGAACGAACCACCACGCCAUACGGGAUGAAGGACUAGGUCCGGACGUCGGCGUGGAAAGGGUGAAACGGCCAACCCUCCGGGGAGCAAGCCCAAAUGUCCGAACUGACCCGUCUUGGGAUCGGAAGGUAGGGUGCAAAGGUAAAUGCCGUCUUCCCUGCCACUCGAUGGCAGGGUCAACAGAAGGAGGCUUACGGCCAUUACCC
rnacentral:RNase_P_RNA from 1 species